rnacentral:lncRNA from 1 species
CACCCCUCGCCGCCGACGCCGACGCCCACGCCGCCGCCUUCCCAUGGCGCAGCCUCCCGAUGUUGGUCGCCCCGACCCUCGCCGCCGCCAUCUGCGCCGGCGCCGCCGCCAUCGUCCGGCCUCCCUCCCGUCCCGUCCCGAUCAAGAAACCAUCUUUCUUUCACCUUCGCUUGUCAUCGGGGACAAGACAACCAACCCAAAAGGUCGCACGCAACACGGCAACAACCCCCCCAUUCGUGUUUACCUUAGCUGUUGAAUGAUUCGCUUCUGAUUACGCCUCGCACUUUUUUUUUUCUUCUUCUCUAUUUCAUCUUCGUCCUCCUCGAUCUUGACCAGUUCAUCGACAACAACGUGGCCAUCAUCCAACGGCAGCCAGGCCGGCCAGCACCGUACUGCUGGCGCCAGAGUAAUCAAACGGUAGGUCAAACAACGCAGCAGCAGCAGCAGGCGAUGAUUCCUGAUCUCCGAUCGAAGCUUCACCCACGUCCGAGACGACGACGACGACGAUUAAACAAAUGUGCUUGCCUCCCAGACCAAAGAGGAGAUGGACGAUUAAACUACAAAAAGAGAGGAUAUUUUUAUGAUAAAAGAACGUGAGGCGAUGGCCUGAUCAGCAUUGUCAGGUAGCAGCAGUAGCGUAGCGGGGAUGGCG